ACCGGGCGGCGUCGGGAGAGGUUCCAGCCUAGGGAGGGUUUACCAUUUUUCGUUAGCGAGGGGAGCGGUUCUAGCGUAGACGAGGCCUAUGGAUCUGGUUUUCUUUAUUAAAUCGUUUGGUUUUUGGAGGGUUGAAAAAAAAUCUGUGGGAGGAAAAAAAUUGUGGAAGGAGAACGUGGGUGGGAGGGCUUCCAGCAUAGAAGGGGAUCGCUGCUGGUCGAACCAUCACGACAGACGGUAGAUCCCCUUUAAUAAUAGAGAAUAGAGAUUACAACUUAUGAUUACAUGCAUGACUCGACGAUGUGGAAUAGUUGUAUGAAGAAAAUAAAUAAAUAACAGAUUACAACUAUUUAAGAAUAGAGGAUUUCAUGUGAUGUCCCUUCAAUCCAACCAAUCACCAAAUUACAUGUUUUGUGAUAUCAUAUGUAUUUUCAGACACAUUGUGAUAUCAUAUGGUUCCUCUCACCAAUCACUUAACUAAAACGGUACCUAUUCAUUCAGUUAAUUCAAACCUUUCAGAGCAGUUCAAUUCCAUUUUACUUGAAAGAUGAACCAACGUAUACGGAGUCCUACAAACUGAGACCAAAGUAGUAGUACACCGUUUCUUUUUCUUCAGAUUUAUUUUGUGUUUAAUUUUCCCUC
rnacentral:lncRNA from 1 species